rnacentral:rRNA from 1 species
GGAUUAGAAACCCUGGUAGUCCUGGCAGUAAACGGUGUGCGCUUGGUGUGAGGGGAUUCGACCCCCCUUGUGCCGGAGCUAACGCGUUAAGCGCACCGCCCGGGAAGUACGGCCGCAAGGCUAAAACUCAAAGAAAUUGACGGGGACCCGCACAAGCGGUGGAGUAUGUGGCUUAAUUCGAUGCAACGCGAAGAACCUUACCAAGGCUUGACAUGCAUCUCUAAGCGCGUGAAAGCGCGUGACUCUUCGGAGGAUUUGCACAGGUGCUGCAUGGCCGUCGUCAGCUCGUGUCGUGAGAUGUUGGGUUAAGUCCCGCAACGAGCGCAACCCCUGUGAUUAGUUGCCAGCGGUUCGGCCGGGGACUCUAGUCAGACUGCCCAGAUCAACUGGGAGG